UUUCAUUCAUCUCUCUUCGUUCUUUACUUUCUGCUUCAAACAAUUCCCUCUCGCAGUUUCACUGAUCGGCCGGUCAGUACGCCGUAACGAAAUUCGACAGCGUAAUUAACGACACGACGAGACGCGGGACACCGAUCCGAUCGUCGAUCGUGUCGCUCUACACACCACAUCAUCGUCCAAAACGUACGCCUUCCCGUCUCUUUGCAGGCAAGAUCCAUCCUUGAGUUGAGCACCAAGCCACCACCGACACAGUCAUGCUGCUCUAUGAGAUACGUACGUGCAUGUUCAGACGUGUCCGAACGUGUCGUGCAUGUGGCCGCACACGUUUUGCAUGCACGUCCUAGUUUGGACGCCACGGCCGCCAGCAUGAGCACCAUAUACAUAUGCUUGUGAAGCGAGAUGUACACAUAUAUCCACGGCCGGCCAUGCACGUCGCCAGCUGCAGUAGCCGCACCGUACGCAUACGUACUGGUUG
rnacentral:lncRNA from 1 species